rnacentral:rRNA from 1 species
GUGGGGAAUAUUGCACAAUGGGCGAAAGCCUGAUGCAGCAACGCCGCGUGAGUGAUGAAGGUCUUCGGAUUGUAAAGCUCUGUCUUUUGGGACGAUAAUGACGGUACCAAAGGAGGAAGCCACGGCUAACUACGUGCCAGCAGCCGCGGUAAUACGUAGGUGGCGAGCGUUGUCCGGAUUUACUGGGCGUAAAGGGUGCGUAGGCGGAUGUUUAAGUGAGAUGUGAAAUACCCGGGCUUAACUUGGGUGCUGCAUUUCAAACUGGAUAUCUAGAGUGCAGGAGAGGAGAAUGGAAUUCCUAGUGUAGCGUGAAAUGCGUAGAGAUUAGGAAGAACACCAGUGGCGAAGGCGAUUCUCUGGACUGUAACUGACGCUGAGGCACGAAAGCGUGGGUAGCAAACAGGAUUAGAUACCCUGGUAGUCCACGCCGNAAACGAUGAGUACUAGGUGUAGGAGGUAUCGAC